AAUCAUUUUAUCUUGGUGAGACCCCAAGAGAAAGUA
rnacentral:tRNA from 1 species